rnacentral:tRNA from 1 species
GCUCUUGUAGCUUAGUUGGUUAGAGCACUUAUUUUGUAAGUGGGAGGUCAUGAGUUCAACUCUCAACAAGAGCA